rnacentral:rRNA from 1 species
AGCAGCCGCGGUAAUUCCAGCUCCAAUAGCGUAUAUUAAAGUUGUUGCAGUUAAAAAGCUCGUAGUUGAAUUUCGAGAUCGGUUUAUUGGUCGUGCUAUUGUACGUACUGGUAUUACCGGUUUCUCCUUUCUGACGAACCUUAAUGCCAUUAAUUUGGUGUUUUGGGAAAUCAGGACUGUUACUUUGAAAAAUUAGAGUGUUUAAAGCAGGCUCACGCUUGAAUACAUUAGCAUGGAAUAACGGAAUAGGACGUUUGAUUCUAUUUUGUUGGUUUCUAGGAUCGACGUAAUGAUUAAUAGGGAUAGUUGGGGGCAUUAGUAUUCAAUUGUCAGAGGUGAAAUUCUUGGAUUUAUUGAAGACUAACUACUGCGAAAGCAUUUGCCAAGGAUGUUUUCAUUAAUCAAGAACGAAAGUUAGGGGAUCGAAGACGAUCAGAUACCGUCGUAGUCUUAACCAUAAACUAUGCCGACUAGGGAUCGGAUGAUGUUAAUUUUUAAUGACUCAUUCGGCGCCUUACGG